rnacentral:rRNA from 1 species
AUUGAACGCUGGCGGCAGGCUUAACACAUGCAAGUCGAGCGGAGAGAGGUAGCUUGCUACUGAUCUUAGCGGCGGGCGGGUGAGUAAUGCUUAGGAAUCUGCCUAUUAGUGGGGGACAACAUUUCGAAAGGAAUGCUAAUACCGCAUACGUCCUACGGGAGAAAGCAGGGGAUCUUCAGACCUUGCGCUAAUAGAUGAGCCUAAGUCGGAUUAGCUAGUUGGUGGGGUAAAGGCCUACCAAGGCGACGAUCUGUAGCGGGUCUGAGAGGAUGAUCCGCCACACUGGGACUGAGACACGGCCCAGACUCCUACGGGAGGCAGCAGUGGGGAAUAUUGGACAAUGGGCGCAAGCCUGAUCCAGCCAUGCCGCGUGUGUGAAGAAGGCCUUAUGGUUGUAAAGCACUUUAAGCGAGGAGGAGGCUACUUUAGUUAAUACCUAGAGAUAGUGGACGUUACUCGCAGAAUAAGCACCGGCUAACUACGUGCCAGCAGCCGCCGUAA